rnacentral:rRNA from 1 species
CCUUGCUACUUGGAUAACCGUAGUAAUUCUAGAGCUAAUACAUGCAGGAAUUCCCGACUUCGGAAGGGAUGUAUUUAUUAGAUAAGAAACCAAACCGGUCUCCGGUUGUGUGCUGAGUCAUAAUAACUGCUCGAAUCGCACAGCUCUACGCUGGCGAUGGUUCAUUCAAAUUUCUGCCCUAUCAGCUUUCGAUGGUAGGAUAGAGGCCUACCAUGGCGUUAACGGGUAACGGAGAAUUAGGGUUCGAUUCCGGAGAGGGAGCCUGAGAAAUGGCUACCACAUCCAAGGAAGGCAGCAGGCGCGUAAAUUGCCCGAAUCCUGACACAGGGAGGUAGUGACAAGAAAUAACAAUACAGGGCUCUCUGAGUCUUGUAAUUGGAAUGAGUACAAUUUACAUCUCUUCACGAGGAUCAAUUGGAGGGCAAGUCUGGUGCCAGCAGCCGCGGUAAUUCCAGCUCCAAUAGCGUAUAUUAAAGUUGUUGCAGUUAAAACGCUCGUAGUCGGAUUUCGGGGCGGGGCCGCCGGUCUGCCGAUAGGUAUGCACUGGCGGGCGCGUCCUUUUUCCCGGAGACGGCUGCUACUCUUAACUGAGCGGUGGUCGGAGACGGGAUGUUUACUUUGAAAAAAUCAGAGUGUUUCAAGCAGGCAGUCGCUCUUGCAUGGAUUAGCAUGGGAUAAUGAAAUAAGACUCUGGUGCUAUUUUGUUGGUUUCGAGCACCGGAGUAAUGAUUA